rnacentral:tRNA from 3 species
GCGGGUGUGGCGGAAUGGUAGACGCGAGGGUCUCAAACACCCUUUCCUCACGGAGUGUCGGUUCGAGUCCGACCACCCGCACCA